CUGGCCGGUCGGCCGGUGCCGCCGGUCGGCCGGUGCCGCCGGUCGGCCGGUGCCGCCGGUCGGCCGGUGCCGCCGGUCGGCCGGU
rnacentral:tRNA from 1 species